AGUAUAAACAAAGGAGGCUCAGCUAGCUUGGUUCUUGCAGAGAUAGAGUAAUUACUUUACCUCUGGUUCUUGGUACAUAGUCUAAUAAGUUAAAUCUACAGUUGAUGUUGCUGACUGAAGCUCAGGAGCACUGUCCAUUGAGAGACAGUGAAAGCUGGCGUCUGUAACUCCGUACCAUUACCUCAUGUGUUGAGUAAAGCCCACCUGAACUUGGAACAUAUUGCGGAGGGACAGGAAUAUCUGCAAAAUCUGCAUUGGGUAGCUUCACAAAUCCCGGGCAAGACCUGAAAUAACCCUAUUGAAGGUAAGCAGAUGCAAUGCUAACUGGAGCGUCACUAUUGGAUAGAGGAGCUGAGUCAGCAGUAAUAUAUUCAUUCUUAAGGUAGUCCUUUGGUAAGCUCAUCCAUCCCCAGUUUGGAAAUUUUUCAAACACUGCAAAAAAGUGUUUGCAAGGUAUGUGCCAGCGUGUCCAAUCUUUGCAAGAGCACUGUGGCAUGUUUUCGUCGUUUGUGAACUCAAGUGUAUGUUGCUUUCCCGAGGUAGUCUUAACUGUGAAUUGACCUUUCGUACCAUUUUGUUCAAUUGACGCUUUAGGGAAUUUUUCAGCUUUUCUGAUUCGGGUCAAACAGUGCAGAAUUACUGACCUAGGCCGGCCUCUCAAAUACUCAGGAACAAACUCGUUGUAUGAUCUGUACGAAUCUGACAUAGCAAAGUUGUCUUUCUGAUACUUCUGUAGCAUGCAUGCUGGGCAAAAACUCUUCUACCAAAAUUGUUACUAGAUGUGAUAGCGUUGUAUUUUUUCCCUUUGGUAAAUAGUUGUAUUUCAAUGUUUUGUUCAUUAAUUGCUUCAACCCCAUUGUUGGUGUUUACAGCGGCAUGGUAACAAUCAUCCCUAUAAACUCUGGCCCAUAGCUGUAAUGGGAUCAAAAGUACAGUCACAUCAUAAUAAUCAUAAUACAACCGUUUUUAUUUUCUCGUACCACUCAGAAUAAUUAUAUGCAAUAAUUAUUAUGUGACAGACGUACAAUAUUACAGUGGAACCCCUCUAUAACGGACACCUUUGGGGAACAAUGUUUUGGCCUUUAUACAGAGGUGGCCUUUGUUGAGAGGUUGUUUUACACAAACUGUUCAUUUGGGACCUGGGUGCCUGGCCGUUAUAUAGCAACUGGCCUUUAUUCAGAGGUGGUUGUUAAAGGAGGUUCCACUGUAGACGAUGCUUACCUUUGGGAUACUUAACCAUUUUGUAUUGAGCCAAUCCCUCAUGGUGUUUCCAGAUGUUGGAUGGUCAUCUAUCGCUUUUUGAUAGUAGAAUUCUGAGGGUAACCCUGACACGUUUUCAGUUGGUGGAGCAUUAGCACAUUCCCUUAACAUAGAUAGAAGACAUUCCUUUUCAUCAUUACUGAGACUAUGUUUGUGAUUAUUUGUCCACCUCUCCCAUGCUUGUUCGCGAUGAAAAUCACAUAAAUAUAUUUGUACACCUGGAAAGGUCUGUUUAAGAGCCAGAAGUUCAGCCUCCAAAUAAUCGGUCAUGAAAAAUUUGGGGUUCCACUUAGGAUUCCAUUUAUGUAACAGUUGUAAGGCCUCAGAUACAUGUUGAGCCGUUUCAGACUGAGUAAUAAACUCACCAACCACACUGUACCCUACAUUCGUUUUGACACAAAUAAAAAAUAAGGCCAAGUCGUAACGUGUGGUUUUAUACGUUGCAUCUUUAUAUUGUUCCCAUAACGUUCCAGUAACUUUUUGCCAUUGUGUUUGGUGUACAUACAGGAAACUUUGAGAGCAUUGCUUGUGAGAUCCUAAAACCUCACACCAGUCAUCAUCACCUCCAGAGUUUCCUUGAAACCCUUUGGUUAAUGUGUCUUCCUUUUUGUUUUCCUCUUUAGGUACUUCUUCUGAUGAUUGAUGGUGCGUUUCAGAAUCUUCAGACGAGAUGUAAGGGCGAAAGAAAAAGAAAAUCUUCGCCGCCUGACUGCUACAAGCAGGGACCUCCUGCAGAGUGAAAGACUCUUACAUUAAUUAUACUACUCUGUUUAUUGUCUCAAGUUUGUUUAUUGUAUUAUUACCUUAUUUUCCUUUUCUUGUGUUUUUUGA